rnacentral:rRNA from 1 species
UCGGGAAUUUUGGGCAAUGGGCGAAAGCCUGACCCAGCAACGCCGCGUGAGUGAAGAAGGCCUUCGGGUUGUAAAGCUCUUUUGUCAGGGAAGAAACGGUUCUGGUUAAUACCUGGGGCUAAUGACGGUACCUGAAGAAUAAGCACCGGCUAACUACGUGCCAGCAGCCGCGGUAAUACGUAGGGUGCAAGCGUUAAUCGGAAUUACUGGGCGUAAAGCGUGCGCAGGCGGUUAUGUAAGACAGAUGUGAAAUGCCCGGGCUCAACCUGGGAACUGCAUUUGUGACUGCAUGGCUAGAGUGUGUCAGAGGGGGGUAGAAUUCCACGUGUAGCAGUGAAAUGCGUAGAGAUGUGGAGGAAUACCGAUGGCGAAGGCAGCCCCCUGGGAUAACACUGACGCUCAUGCACGAAAGCGUGGGGAGCAAACAGGAUUAGAUACCCAAGUAGUCCCUGAGCGGGCUGGCAAGGCGCAU